AUUGAACGCUGGCGGCAGGCCUAACACAUGCAAGUCGAACGGUAACAGGAAGAAGCUUGCUUAUUUGCUGACGAGUGGCGGACGGGUGAGGAAUGUCUGGGAAACUGCCUGAUGGAGGGGGAUAACUACUGGAAACGGUAGCUAAUACCGCAUAACGUCGCAAGACCAAAGAGGGGGACCUUCGGGGCUCUUGCCAUCGGCUGUGCCCAGCUGGGAUUAGCUAGGAGGUGGGGUAACGGCUCACCCAGGCGGCGAUCCCUAGCUGGUCUGAGAGGAUGACCAGCCACACUGGAACUGAGACACGGUCCAGACUCCUACGGGAGGCAGCAGUGGGGAAUAUUGCACAAUGGGCGCAAGCCUGAUGCAGCCAUGCCGCGUGUAUGAAGAAGGCCUUCGGGUUGUAAAGUACUUUCAGCGGGGAGGAAGGGAGUAAAGUUAAGACCUUUGCUCAUUGACGUUACCCGCAGAAGAAGCACCGGCUAACUCCGG
rnacentral:rRNA from 1 species